AUGCAUCCUUUGCGUAGCAAAUGUAAGAUAGCAUUUAAUGCUAUAGGUACUUUGGCACGUGACAUGCAUGUGUAUGUCCUUUACUCCACUCAUAACCCUAAAGACUUGAAGUUCAUUAGUGUUCCUGUAGGUUUCCAAACGUUGUUGGUGUGAAAAUGGCUGGAGUUUAUAACGGCGGAAAAAAAUUGACGAAGAGAGCAUGAACACCCCAUUGGAAGGAGGGGAGCUCAAGUAUGAUUUAGCUGUGAAAUAAUCACUUCUUAUAUUUUAUUUUUUAGUUUAGAGCCUGUAAUGGAGGAGGGGUUCAAACUUUUGGUUUGUUUCUUAGUUUGGAAUCCAAUUCUGGCAUGGAUCAAGCAAGUCAAGUUCCUCAGCAAGAGAAGGUUAAUGCUCUAUCCCUAGCUAAUGACAUGAAGGACUUAAGUGAGAUUGUGAAGUCUCUUGCUGGAGCAGUGAGUGAUAUCUUGGUCAAGUACAAGGAGCUUGAUACUCGUAUGGCAGAAGUUCAAACUGUUAAUGUUGAGCAGGACAAUAAGCUAGAUAGGUUUGAGAAGUUGGUCACUAUGUUUGGAAGUGAUGCCAUAGACAAAAAUUGUGCCACACCUCUUGGUGGUAGUGCUGAAGGACCAUCGAAGUGGACUAGCCCAAUAGUGAGGGGAAAGGAAAAAUCCUUAGCUUUUGAUGAUGGUAUCAUAAAUAUUGAUUUGGAUGCUUCUGAUGGUGACGAUGGGACAAACGAUAAACUUUCACAAAGUCAGAAUCUUCCUAAGGAGGGGUCCAGUUUUGGUACCCCUCAACCAACGAUUCCUUGUAACAAGACUUCUCCAUCAAUUAGCCAUACUCAACCAAUUCUGAACCCCCAUUUUGGAAAGAAGGUGUGACAAAGUGUGGCAUCUACACCGGACUGAUUGGAGCAUUUGAUAUGGCAGUACAAACAACCAAAAAAUUGUCCACAACUCCAUCAUCAACGAGAAAAGCUUCCAAGGUCAGAAAGCUGGAAAAAAAUGUUGACAAUACCACUGAUGAUAAUGGCUCGAAAAUUGAAGUCAUAAGCAAUACUAAGUCCUCAACCACACAACCUCGCAUCAAUCAAAAGACUGCUCUUGAUAGAGUGUUGGCUCGGAGCGUGAAGUGUAUGUUUAAACCUACACCCGAGAUGUUUCUAAUGGACUCUGAAGUAAUGACUGCUGCCUACCUUUGGCAUAAAGACAAAGAUUCUGAGGAAACCUUAGCUCACUUCGGGGUCACAUAUGUACUCAGGAAGGACUUGGAAUCCUUACUUCCAGGAAGACACGUCCAUGGAAAUACUCUCACGCUAUUGGCCACUAAGAUAAAUAGUACACAAUGCUAUUCAAUUUCUAAGACUGUUUGGUGUUUCCCUCCAUCUUUUAUGAAUGACUUCAAUCAACAAGAAGAUGUGUACUUUGGACUUACCACAGAGGAGUUGUCACUGAAGUUUUCAAAGUCUUGGAUGCACCCAUUAAACACUCUUAAAUAUGUGGAAUUGGGGCACUGGUUUUUGAUGGUGAUUCCUGUGGAUGAGCACAUUAUUUACCAUUUUGAUUCCCACUUAAACGUGGAAGACAUCCAUGCUAGGCAAGGAACUUUGAAAACACUGUGUGAGGUGUUGAUGGAAAUCAUUGGCUCAAAGGACUACCAAUCUGAUUUAUUGGAAGGAAUUAUGGAUUUCAAGUCAUGGCAACUAAAGGAACCUAGGGGUAUUCCCAAUACUGGGAGAAGGUAAAAUUCACUUCUUCAUACUUAAUCAAAAUCUCAUGUGCUUAUAACAACACUCAUUUGUCAUUUUUUAAUCAAUACAAUGACAACUCAAUUUUAUAUGUCCGUAACUGGAUGACUAUGGAGAAUGCCUUCCAACCCAAUCAGAGAAGAGAACUUGAUGAAAAUGUUGUGCGCAUUAAGACUGCAAUUGCAUUGCUAUGUGGGUCACACAAUGAGAUGAGAAGGACUCUAGAUAAGAAAGUGGGUGUGUUCUGGAACACAUUAACAAAACGCUGAAUCUGCAAGUUACUCAAUACCUUACUUUUUUGUCUGCUCUGCCUAUACUUGUGCAGAAACCCACACAACCACAAAACUACCAUACAUUUGGUCGACGUAGACACUAUACAGUGAUACGACUAUUUUUUUUUGUGUAAUAAGGAGGUUUUAAGCCUUAUGGCACACUUAUUAUUUGUGGGAUGUUUAUGACAUUGGCUUUGUAUUUAAGCCUUAUGUUGUACUCAUUUAUGACAUUCUAAUACACUUUUAGGCCACCUUAUUAUUUGUGGGAUGUUUAUGA